GUGGGGAAUAUUGGACAAUGGGGGCAACCCUGAUCCAGCAAUGCCGCGUGUGCGAUGAAGGCCUGCGGGUUGUAAAGCACUUUCGGUGGGGAAGAAAUACUCAAAGAUAAUACCUUUGAGGGCUGACAUUACCCACAGAAGAAGCACCGGCAAACUCUGUGCCAGCAGCCGCGGUAAUACAGAGGGUGCAAGCGUUAAUCGGAGUUACUGGGCGUAAAGGGCGCGUAGGCUGGUAUUUAAGUCGGUUGUGAAAUCCCUGGGCUUAACCUAGGAAUUGCAGCCGAUACUGGAUGCCUGGAGUAUGGUAGAGGAAAGUGGAAUUCUCGGUGUAGUGGUUAAAUACGUAGAUAUCGAGAAGAACACCAGUGGCGAAGGCGGCCCCCUGGACAAAGACUGACGCUCAGGUGCGAAAGCGUGGGGAGCAAACAGGAUUAGAAACCCUUGUAGUCC
rnacentral:rRNA from 1 species